rnacentral:ncRNA from 1 species
GCAGAGUAAGGUGUCGCGCGUCAGUUCCUUUUGGAACGCAGUGCUGUCGGGACGGGGAGUUGUCCGGCGGACGAAAAACGCAUCGCGUUUGCGGUGCGGCGCCUGGAUCCCGCUGC